GUCGGUAGAGCAGAGGACUGAAAAUCCUCGUGUCA
rnacentral:tRNA from 1 species